AACCUAAACCCUGUACACUUAGAAUAUUUUACAAUUUUCCCCCAAACCUAAAUCCAAACCCUUGUUUUCAUCGAUCACCACUGCACCUCCAUCGCCAUCAUCCGUCGUUGCUGUCAGCCGCAUAUGAUUCAGGCACCGGCACGGAGACGCUCUGAGACGGAGACGGAGACAGAGACGCCACCAACCACGAAGUAGCAGAAAGAUUUAUAGGCACAUCAGCUUAUCCGAAUUCUAGAUCAAUCCUAUCGAUUUUGAACAAAUGCAACCACGCAUUUAUCAAUAUGACUGAUCCUUCAUUCAUUGUUCCAUUUUAUCAUGCUUUUAAUGGCAAGAAAUGGGAAAAGUUCAACAGUGAAAAGGUGGCAUCACUUGCAUAUGUUCGCAUCCAGGGAAAAGCUGCCCUUAUUGCUCACUUCCAGAAUUCUAGCUUGAUGAAUGAAGAUAAGAUGUAGUAUGCUGAAUUGUAGUAUGCUAUUGGGCUUCAUGGCUUACUACUCUAUAACCCCAUAUCAAAAAAUAUAUAAAACAGAGCUACAAUGUGUUCCUAGUAGCUUUGACUCUGUGGAAGAGUAUGUUUUUGCAUAGGCUGCUUGUGGACUGAACAUUAAAU